UUUUACUUUAAAUGACAUCUCCUCAUAAACCACUAAGCCAAUUUCAUCCAAUCUUCACAGGAAUGUUCCUUUGGUGGUCACCUUUAAAAAUUGUUCAAAAAAUUUAAUUCCAUGCAGAACUCUGGUUGCUAUGGCAACCGAAAGAAAAAACUUUAAAUAUCUCCUUUAAAAAAACCAUAAGAGCUAGAGCUUAGAUAUUUGGCAUGAAACAUCUUCUAGUGAGUGUCUACCAAGUUUGUUCAAAUAAAAGCCCUGGGGUCAAAAUUGGCCCCGCCACGGGGGUCAUUGAUUUUCCCUAUAUGCAUAUAGUAAAAACUUAAAAAAAUCUUCUUUUAAAGAACCCAAAGAGCUAGAGCUAAGAUAUUUAGCAUGAAACAUGUUCUAAUGGGUGUCUACCAAGUUUGUUCAAAUAAAAGCCCUUGGGUCAAAAUUGGCCCCGCCCCGGGGGGUCAUUGAUUUUCCCUAUAUGCAUAUAGUAAAAACUUAAAAAAUCUUCUUUUAAAGAACUCAAAGAGCUAUGGCUAAGAUAUUGAGCAUGAAACAUGUUCUAAUAGGUGUCUACCAAUUUGUUCAAAUAAAAGCCCUGGGGUCAAAAUUGGCACCGCCCCGGGGGUCAUUGAUUUUCCUUAUAUGUGUAUAGCAAAAACUUAAAAAAUCUUCUUUGAAAAAACCCAAAUAGCUAGAGUUAAGAUAUUAAGCAUGAAACAUCUUUUAGUGAGUGUCUACAAAGUUUGUUCAAAUAAAAGACCUGGGGUCAAAAUUGGCCCCGCCCCGGGGGUCAUUGAUUUUCUCUAUAUGUGUAUAGCAAAAACUUAAAAUCUUCU